ACUCCAGCAGUUUUUCAUUAAUUGGUGUAGCAAACCUGCUGAAAACAAUCGUUGCCCAAGUAGUCCGAUAGCCUAAAAUAACUCUCCCUCCCGCCGUCACCAUACCACAUCAUUGCUACUGCGUCACUGUGAUGCGAAGGGGACAAGUCAAGUUUAUUAUUCUCUUUUGCUAUCGUUUUUCCUCGUGCGACGAGCCACGUACGGAGAAAAAAACACAACGAGUUGCGCGGAUCAUUCUCUUCUAAGAGCUGUAUAUAGUCUAGUUAUGUAUUUAUUAUUUCCGAGUGAGCAAUGCAUCAACAUUUUGUUACGUACUGAGAGGAUUCAAGUUUAUUCAUUACUUGAACACAUCGCAAUCUGUACAGUUUGGGACAAAACGACAAUCGGGUCAUAAUCGUUUCGUUUCCAUCGCUGCUUACUAUUAGUAGAAAAUAGGUCAGCACAAUUUUCUAAACCUUCUCCGAUCGGCUGAUAGUGUUCUAACUUUAUUUAUACUAGUUGCAACAGAAAAGGGCAAGUUCCAGCUUAAUCCAGAUACGAGUGUUGCAGUGAUCGGUUAUAUGUCUUCGGUUGUUAUCAAUCCACUGUUAUCGCAUGAUGGUUGUAUGGAAGAUUCGCUUCCAGUUCCCUGUUGUUUACUACUUUUGCACAUCGGCAGUUUUAUAUUGCAUUGCAUGCUUGUAAAAUCAUUUUAACGUGAAGAAUAAAACGUUCAAUUUUAUAACAGUAAUACUAUAACUAAUUUUUUUGUGUUUUUUAAUAGAUAAACCCAGAACUGGUCACACCAGUACGUUCCGCUUCACCGAAUCGUACACCAGCACUCAGCCACUGGCAAAAAAUAUGUUGACUUUCACUGAUAACCCAUUGGUCGUACCAAAUUGUGAAAAAUAAGCUCUAUCACUUAUUUCCUUUGCCGAAAACUGAGAAGUUGGCGAUGAGCAGCGAGCGAACGUGAACGAAUGUACGUGAGCUUCGAGGAUCAGCUAUUUGAGGAAUCGGCCGCGCUGUGCACAUGCCGCCGGUGCGCGGUUCUACUAGCAGGAGAAAGUGUGAACUCAAGGCCAAAUGAACUGCUGCCCGGGACCCUUUAGCCCUUAUCGAAUUCAAUUCGGAUCCGUCGUUCCGUGCUUGCUUAUCAACGCGCGGCACGGUUCAGGCUCGGUCAAUAACAUGCUGGCUUCGUAAUCUGCGAGCCUCACGUUCGAAUGCAAUCGAAUUUAUCAUCUCGCAUGAGUUUUCGAGCUCCGGUUUUGGUCGAGACCAUCCGCCGCAAGGCUGACCGACACGAGAAAAAACGAAAACAAUCUAGCCAGUGUUGAUGCAUUUUUGUCUCUUGCACACGGGAUUAAGAACUUCCGUAACAGAACUUUCUAUUUUAGUUAGGUUAUCAAUCAGUUAAGAAUCGAUCGUGUUUCUAGAUUAAGAUUAAAAGAUUAAAUUGUAUUACUAGAAAGCACAAACCAACUGAGCUAUGAAAUUGUUAACAAUGUUCUAACUGUAUAACUGUUCUUCUGAACUUAAUUAUCCGGACUCAGUCAUGCAGUUUUUGAUUAUUCAUCUGAACCAAUUUAGUUGUAAUCACUUUUCCAAUAAACUCCGAAAACGUUUUGUUGUGAUUGUUGAACUAUUGAAAACUCUUGAAAAUGUUCUUCAGUUGGCGCUUAGCCAGGCACCAUAUUACGUUAUUCAAUUUUAUCAACAUUUGAAGCUGUGAGCAUCCUAUCAAUCGAAGUACGAAAAUAAAAACUCACCUUAACUUACUUUUUUUCCAAUUUUCGAUAGCCAAUAAAGUUUUCGAUAAAAUUAUAUGAACUUUUCGCCUACGGGCAAUCAUUUUCAAGUUAUUGUGCAUUUUGAAA